AAAACGAAUUGAUACAUUAUCACAUUUUGCAACACUAAUGUGUAUCCAGCUGACAUUUUCUAGUUAAACUUCCAAUUAUAACUACAUAGUUAUAAUACAUUUUAUGCUAACUGAGACUUUGUGCCAGUAAGCACGAUCAUUUGUCUGUAUAUUUUCCUACAAAUCUUUUUGUGGGAGACUGAGGUUUUUAUAACCAACAUUUAUUUAUUUAUUUAUUUUUUUUUCACUUUCUUUGUAUAUUUCACUUUUAUUCUAUAGACCUUUCUAAAUAAAAGUUACGUUUUAAAUGUAAUAUAUUUAGGGCAGUGUUUCUCUUCU